CCAGCUCUACAAGAACUUCUAGUGCUCUGGGCAGCUGCGAGGGGUCAAGAAACCACAUCCCCAAAUCCAGCGGGAUCUCAGAGAGAAAGGCUGAUGGGAAGCUGCCCAGGGCUGACCUGGCACAUGCUGGGAAAACCCCUCGGUGCCAGGGCAGGAGGCAGAGCGUCUGCAGCUCCUCCCUCCCCAACACAGGGGGUAAGGAAUACAGCAGAACGGGAAUCGGGCGCCUUCAUGCUGCUGUUACCGCCCUUGGUUCAUGGCUUCUUUCACUUGGAAACCCCAGGAGGUUCAUCAUGGUUCAGAAAAGUUUGUCUUCUCUUGGCACACCCAGCUUUGACGGUGCACAUGAAUAGGAUACAGAGGUGCAGGCAGAGGCCAGGCCAGCCCGAGUCAAAGCUUAGGAACAGAGGAUGAAGACUGUUGCAACAAAUAAGGAAGUACAAGCAUGAAAGCAAAAUCGGAGGAACAUUUCCUGGACAGCAUUCCCAUCUCCAGUAAGAGUCCUUCUCACUUCAUAAAAGCGAUACGUAGAAGCAAGACUCUGCCUUUGCGGUGACGUCACUGAAUAUGCAGCCGGGGCCCAGAGUUGAACAAAUGCCACUCUGGCAAGCGGGGCAGGGUCUGGCUUAGCAACUUGACUUUGACCUACCACCUCUGGAUAAUUUUGCUUCUACAUAACUAUGGAGAUGAUGUACUCAUUCUAUUUAUAAAAAUAAUGCCCUUGGAGUAAACCCCAACCAUCCACUCCUACCUCCACCCUGGCCCAGGCCUGUUCUGCCCCAGUGCACCUAAUCUUCCUUCAUUCUUUAUCCCCCUUGUUCACACUGUGCCUGCAUCCUGCUCCUUGAACAAGCCUGGCCUCAUGCCGUUGCACGCUUGCUGCUUCCUCUAUCUGGAAUGCCUUUCUCAUUGCUCCUUGCCAAGCCACUCCUUUUUUUUUUUAGACACAGUUUCACUCUGUCGCCCAGGCUGGAAUGCAGUGGUGCAGUCUUGGCUCACUGCAACCUCUGCCUCCCGGGUUCAAGAGGUUCUCCUGUCUCAGCCUCCCAAGCAGCUGGGAUUAUAGGCGCACACCACCACGCCCAGCUAAUUUUUGUAUUACAAGUAAAGAUGGGGUUUCAACAUGGCCAGGCUGGUCUUGAACUCCUGAUCUCAGGUGAUCUGCCCACCUUGGCCUCCCAAAGUGCUAGGAUUACAGGCGUGAGCCACAGCGCCUGGCCCCAGGUCACUCCUAAUCCAUCAGGUUUCAACUGAAAUGUCAUGCUGGAAAGAGGCCUUCCUUCUCUCUCUAUCCUGGCUAACACUGCCUUCUCUCCCACACCAUCUUGCUAUCCCAUCUUUCUCUUCUGUUUUCUUCAGAGAACUUACUGAUACCUGAAAUGAUCUCAUCGUUUAUUUCUUCCUUUUUUCUUCAUUGUCUGUCUCCCCUUUGGAGCACAGGUUGCUUAAGAACAGGCACCUCACUGGGUGUGACCCAUGCCUGUAAUCCCAGCUACUCAGGAAGCUGGGGUGAGAGGAUGGCUUGAGCCCAGGAGUUCAAGGCUGCAGUGAGCUAUGAUUGUACCAAUGCACUCCAGCCUGGGUAACAGAGCACAAUUCCGUCUUUAAAAAAUAAUACAAAAAUAAAAAAGUAUAGGCACCUCUUCAGUUUUGUUCAUUUCUGAAUCUCUGGUGCCUGGGACAGAGCCUGAUGGUCAGUGAGAGGUGCUUAACAAAUGCUUGUGGAAGGAAGGACUGGGAUAUACUUUUGCAGUUCAAAGGACUUCAGGAAUGAAAUGGCAAUCUGAGGAUGGGGAGUAAAAUGUCCUGUUGUCAACCCUGUAAGCUGCUAAACCGACAUGGACUCCAAGCCAAAGCUGCAUAGGCCUCUAGGCUUUUAAACAUGUGGCUCCUGCCGCCCUGCGGGUGGUAUUCGAAAUAUUUAUCAGGUGCAUGUAUACACGUGUGGACAGGCUGAGCAUCAGCAAUUGCUGCCUGCCCUCACCAACUUGCCCCUCAAACUCUUACCCAG
rnacentral:lncRNA from 1 species